rnacentral:rRNA from 1 species
CUACUGGAAACGGUGGCUAAUACCGCAUAACGUCGCAAGACCAAAGAGGGGGACCUUCGGGCCUCUUGCCAUCAGAUGUGCCCAGAUGGGAUUAGCUUGUUGGUGAGGUAACGGCUCACCAAGGCGACGAUCCCUAGCUGGUCUGAGAGGAUGACCAGCCACACUGGAACUGAGACACGGUCCAGACUCCUACGGGAGGCAGCAGUGGGGAAUAUUGCACAAUGGGCGCAAGCCUGAUGCAGCCAUGCCGCGUGUAUGAAGAAGGCCUUCGGGUUGUAAAGUACUUUCAGCGGGGAGGAAGGUGUUGUGGUUAAUAACCGCAGCAAUUGACGUUACCCGCAGAAGAAGCACCGGCUAACUCCGUGCCAGCAGCCGCGGUAAUACGGAGGGUGCAAGCGUUAAUCGGAAUUACUGGGCGUAAAGCGCACGCAGGCGGUCUGUCAAGUCGGAUGUGAAAUCCCCGGGCUCAACCUGGGAACUGCAUUCGAAACUGGCAGGCUUGAGUCUUGUAGAGGGGGGUAGAAUUCCAGGUGUAGCGGUGAAAUGCGUAGAGAUCUGGAGGAAUACCGGUGGCGAAGGCGGCCCCCUGGACAAAGACUGACGCUCAGGUGCGAAAGCGUGGGGAGCAAACAGGAUUAGAUACCCUGGUAGUCCACGCCGUAAACGAUGUCUACUUGGAGGUUGUGCCCUUGAGGCGUGGCUUCCGGAGCUAACGCGUUAAGUAGACCGCCUGGGGAGUACGGCCGCAAGGUUAAAACUCAAAUGAAUUGACGGGGGCCCGCACAAGCGGUGGAGCAUGUGGUUUAAUUCGAUGCAACGCGAAGAACCUUACCUGGUCUUGACAUCCACGGAAGUUUUCAGAGAUGAGAAUGUGCCUUCGGGAACCGUGAGACAGGUGCUGCAUGGCUGUCGUCAGCUCGUGUUGUGAAAUGUUGGGUUAAGUCCCGCAACGAGCGCAACCCUUAUCCUUUGUUGCCAGCGGUUAGG